rnacentral:rRNA from 1 species
GACGAACGCUGGCGGCGUGCUUAACACAUGCAAGUCGAACGGUAAGGCCCUUCGGGGUACACGAGUGGCGAACGGGUGAGUAACACGUGGGUGAUCUGCCCUGCACUUCGGGAUAAGCCUGGGAAACUGGGUCUAAUACCGGAUAGGACCCUGGGAUGCAUGUCCUGGGGUGGAAAGCUUUUGCGGUGUGGGAUGGGCCCGCGGCCUAUCAGCUUGUUGGUGGGGUGAUGGCCUACCAAGGCGACGACGGGUAGCCGGCCUGAGAGGGUGACCGGUCACACUGGGACUGAGAUACGGCCCAGACUCCUACGGGAGGCAGCAGUGGGGAAUAUUGCACAAUGGGCGCAAGCCUGAUGCAGCGACGCCGCGUGAGGGAUGACGGCCUUCGGGUUGUAAACCUCUUUCAGCUAUGACGAAGCGCAGGUGACGGUAGUAGCAGAAGAAGGACCGGCCAACUACGUGCCAGCCGCCGCCGUAA